UAUUUCUCGGAGCAUCAAGCAAAUAGUUGUGUGUAUUUGAUGAACUUAAAAUGCUUCGCUGAGACAAUGUCAAUGCUCGAUCUGAAGUAGUUGCAAUGGAAUGGCUGGUACUAGAAGUUCUCAAUUUCAAGUGCAUGCUGCCCACAACGCACAAUUUCUUGUGGUUCUAUCUAAAAGCAACAAAUAUGGAUGCCGAUGUGGAGGUACUUAGUUGUCCUCUCACUUCUCGACCAUGAAAGAUUUUGCUUCUGGCCCUCUACUGUGGUUUCCGGAUUGGUUAUCCUCGCUUGCCUUGCUACAAGUCGAGAUUCCUCUUGCCUUAAGGUCAUGAAGAGGAUGUUUUGAAUCAUUCACAACCUGAGCUAUAGAGCGUACAAGUUAGAUAGGACAAUUCCUGGUUUCAGUAAAAUGAUGGAGAAAGUGAGAGCUGAUACAACUGCAAAAGAUGCAAGGCACAAGUAGAGGACUGCUGCACAGAAAAAGACUGAGACUGAGGAUGCUCUCUUUGGCCGCAGAAUGUCACCUGAUCCGUAGAAAAGGACAAAAUAUGCAAAUCUUAUUCCAGUAUCAGGUAUGUAGAUGGGCUAUGAGACGCUAAACUUGCAAACUCCUUCAUCUGGACUACCAAAAGAGGAAUCGGGCCUUGCUAUUCAAGUAAGACUAUCCGUAAUGGGAUCAGGGUUUGUGAUUUGAGGUAUAUGGAUACCUUUCAUGAUAAACUCAAGAUUCUGCUGAAAGAUGGAGCUUUAAGGUUUUCAGGUUUUAAAUAUAGCAAUAAAAUGCUUAAGGAGGAGGUUGAGAAGUAUUACAUUGCAAACAUUGUUCAUGUUAUGAAUCAACCCAUUACUCAGUAGAAGAAAAUAUUGGUAGAAGGUGGACAUGCCACCAGAUUGUUCAGAAUUUCUUGUUGAAUGUUCCGCGUGAUUCAAUUGUUCUUCGAUUCCUUCA